rnacentral:rRNA from 1 species
UACAGAGGUCCCAAGCGUUGUUCGGAUUCACUGGGCGUGAAGGGUGCGUAGGUGGCCGGGUAAGUCUGAUGUGAAAUCUCCGAGCUCAACUCGGAAAUGGCAUUGGAAACUAUCCGGCUGGAGGAGUGGAGGGGGGACUGGAAUACUUGGUGUAGCAGUGAAAUGCGUAGAUAUCAAGUGGAACACCAGUGGCGAGGCGAGUCCCUGGACACUUCCUGACACUGAGGCACGAAAGCUAGGGGAGCAACAGG